rnacentral:rRNA from 1 species
GACAGAGGUCCCGAGCGUUGUUCGGAUUCAUUGGGCGUAAAGGGUGUGUAGGAGGUCGGGUAAGUCAGGUGUGAAAUCUCAGAGCUUAACUCUGAAGCUGCGCUUGAUACUGCUCGGCUAGAGGAUCGGAGGGGGUAACGGAAUUCAUGGUGUAGCAGUGAAAUGCGUAGAUAUGUGGAAGAACACCGGUGGUGAAGACGGUUUACUGGGCUAUAACUGACGCUGAGGCGCGAAAGCAUGGGGAGCAAACAGG